rnacentral:rRNA from 1 species
UCGAGAAUCAUUGUCAAUGGGCGAAAGCCUGAACAUGCGACGCCGCGUGGUGGAUGACGUCCUUCGGGAUGUAAACACCUUUUCUGGAGGAGGAAGUUUAUUGACGCUACUCCAGGAAUAAGGGGUUGCUAACUGCGUGCCAGCAGCAGCGGUAACACGCGGACCCCAAGCGUUAUCCGGAUUUACUGGGCGUAAAGGGUACGUAGGCGGCACUGUCAGUCUUUUGUCAAAGACCUCAGCUCAACUGAGGCACGGCAAGGGAUACGGCAGUGCUUGAGGAUGCGAGAGGUGUACGGAACCCAUGGUGUAGAGGUGAAAUUCGUUGAUAUCAUGGGGAACGCCAAAGGCGAAGGCAGUACACUGGCGCACUCCUGACGCUGAGGUACGAAAGCCAGGGUAGCGAAGA